rnacentral:misc_RNA from 1 species
UAACUAUUUCACAUUUAAAAUUUCAGCCAAUAUUUGAGUUUGUGGAAUAUGGAAUAACUAUUCCACAUUUAAAAUUUCAACCAAAGUUGAGAAUAGCUAUUCAAUAUGGGGAAUAGGUCUCUAUGCCCAUGCUAUUUCACUCGCUUCCAUGAACCAAUUAAUGGGUGCAAGUUUUUGAAUGUGAUGAUAUUAUAAAAAAAUGUAGUAAAAAUUUGUUUUUCUGUAGAAUUCUUAACCCAAGAAGGCAGCAAACGCCAUUGCCUUUCGUUUCAAAAGUUUAUUUUCCUCUGUUUUGGAUAAAUUGAAAAUGUUAAAUUUGUGAAUUCCUGCUGCUUUAACCCUUGACUGUAUAAACACUUAAUAAGCAGGCAAGUGUUGAUUAUUAUACUUUUUCA